CAUGUAGCGACAAGGGAAGCAACAUCCGUUGAGCUGCUUGAGGAAGGGGGGGCAUCCCACGGCUAUCAGAGCAAUCCCGGAAGUACGGUCAAGACCCCUACCAGCAUCUUACUGGGAUACGUCCUUCCCCCAAGUGGAGCUGAAGGCAACUCCACUCUUGCGAAUCUCCACUCAAACCAGCCGAUUAAGGCAAGAGUGAGGUAGGAGAGGCCACUCCGGAUAGUCACGAGUACCAACCGGAGUUAAAAAGUAGGGCCUCUCCCGGGAGUCAGGUCCGUGGGGUCGCCACUGCCCAACAGCUCGCCACAAGCUGCCUUGCGGACUUAUUAUUAUUAUUAUUAAGAAUUAAU